GAGGGUGUAGCUCAAGUGGUAGAGUGCAUGCUUAGCAUGCACGAGGUCCUGGGUUCAAUCCCCAGUAACUCCU
rnacentral:tRNA from 1 species